AGUGUCCAGGGAUGGGAAUCGAAUCCACAGUGUUCCGCUUACCGGGCAGAUGCCAUGCCUACUAGGCUAUAAGAAAUUGGAAC
rnacentral:tRNA from 1 species